rnacentral:rRNA from 1 species
CCCUGCCCUUUGUACACACCGCCCGUCGCUACUACCGAUUGAAUGGCUUAGUGAGGUCUCCGGAUUGGCUUUGGGGAGCCGGCAACGGCACCCUAUUGCUGAGAAGCUGCUCAAACUUGGUCAUUUAGAGGAAGUAAAAGUCGUAACAAGG